rnacentral:snRNA from 1 species
AUCGCUUCUCGGCCUUUUGGCUCAGAUCAAGUGUAGUAUCUGUUCUUAUCAGUUUAAUAUCUGAUACGUCCCCCAUCGGGGGACUACAUAUAAAUGGAUUUUUCGAACAGGGAGUCGGAAAUGGGGCUUGCUCCUCCCGCCACGCAUCGACCCGGUAUUGCAGUACCUCCGGGAACGGUGCAACACUU